rnacentral:rRNA from 1 species
UACGGAGGGUCCGAGCGUUAAUCGGAAUUACUGGGCGUAAAGCGCACGCAGGCGGUUUGUUAAGCUAGAUGUGAAAGCCCCGGGCUCAACCUGGGAAUUGCAUUUAGGACUGGCAGGCUAGAGUUUUGGAGAGGGGAGUGGAAUUCCAGGUGUAGCGGUGAAAUGCGUAGAUAUCUGGAGGAACAUCAGUGGCGAAGGCGACUCCCUGGUCAGUAACUGACGCUCAUGUGCGAAAGUGUGGGUAGCGAACAGG